rnacentral:rRNA from 1 species
CCCUUAGAUGUUCUGGGCCGCACGCGUGCUACACUGAGUGGAUCAGCGGGUCAGGUUACGCGAGAGCGUUUCCUAAUCUUCAAAUCCGCUCGUGAUGGGGAUUGACGGUUGCAAUUUUCCGUCAUGAACGAGGAAUACCUUGUAAGCGCGGGUCAUCAUCCCGCGCUGAAUACGUCCCUGCCCUUUGUACACACCGCCCGUCGCUCCUACCGAUUGAGUGGUCCGGUGAGGCUUUGGGAUCUAAGCGAAAAGAGCGUUUCGCUCCUUUUGCUGGGAGAAGUCAGUCGAACCUUAUCAUUUAGAGGAAGGAGAAGUCGUAACA